AUUGAACGCUGGCGGCAUGCCUUACACAUGCAAGUCGAGCGGCAGCGCGGGGGCAACCCUGGCGGCGAGCGGCGAACGGGUGAGUAAUACAUCGGAACGUGUCCAGUAGUGGGGGAUAACCAGUCGAAAGACUGGCUAAUACCGCAUACGAUCCACGGAUGAAAGCGGGGGACCGCAAGGCCUCGCGCUAUUGGAGCGGCCGAUGUCGGAUUAGCUUGUUGGCGGGGUAAAGGCCCACCAAGGCGACGAUCCGUAGCUGGUCUGAGAGGACGACCAGCCACAUUGGGACUGAGACACGGCCCAAACUCCUACGGGAGGCAGCAGUAGGGAAUCUUCCACAAUGGACGAAAGUCUGAUGGAGCAACGCCGCGUGAGUGAAGAAGGUUUUCGGAUCGUAAAACUCUGUUGUCAGAGAAGAACGUGUGCGAGAGUAACUGUUCGUGCAGUGACGGUAUCUGGCCAGAAAGCCACGGCUAACUACGUGCCAGCCGCCGCAGUAA
rnacentral:rRNA from 1 species